rnacentral:sRNA from 1 species
AGUACUCAGCAGCAUCCGGGGGAGAGGAGGCAGGGCUUCUGGUGGGAGCCGCCUCAGCCGGCCCUUGGACUGAGAAAAUCAGGCCGCACCUCGUCAUCUUCUCAAAUCUUCUGCUUCAUACCUUGUUCUCGUUUACGUGGACUGUUUCCUCAUGGCCUUACCUCAACUGCACACUGCAAUGUUGGCAGCGUUUCUGUGGGACCCUCGUGAUGUUGUGCUCACAGCGCAGCCUGGGGCUGAACAGUGCGCUGAGAGUUCGCAACAUAUAAGAAUCCUGCAGCUGCAGUUCAGGCUUAUCAGAUUCCGUUUCUGGAAGCUGUACAUCCAGAGAAGGGUGCAGGCCUGGCAGUUCUUAUGGAGCUUCAGGCUGCCCGGGGAGGCGCAGAAGAUUGAUCGCAUGAUGGAGGCUUUCGCUUCUCGCUACUGCCUGUGCAACCCCGGGGUCUUCCAGUCCACAGGUCAGUGCAGAGCCCACAGCCUGGCCCCUUGCCAGGCACAGCCUCCAGCUCUGGAGGGGGCGGCCCCUGUGGGCAC